AGAAUCAACGCUGGCGGCGUGCCUAACACAUGCAAGUCGAACGAGAAAGUGGAGCAAUCCAUGAGUAAAGUGGCGCACGGGUGAGUAACACGUGACUAACCUACCUUUGAGUGGGGGAUAACCUAGAGAAAUCUGGGCUAAUACCGCAUAAUACCUUCGGGUCAAAGGAGCAAUUCGCUUAAGGAGGGGGUCGCGGCCGAUUAGUUAGUUGGCGGGGUAAUGGCCCACCAAGACUAUGAUCGGUA
rnacentral:rRNA from 1 species